UGCCGGUGAGUGAUGAAGGCCCUAGGGUUGUAAAGCUCUUUCGACAGAGACGAUAAUGCGGUACCUGGAUAAGAAGCCCCAGGCUAACUUCGUGCCAGCAGCCGCGGUAAUACGAAGGGGGCUAGCGUUGUUCGGAAUCACUGGGCGUAAAGCGCACGUAGGCGGAUCUUUAAGUCAAGGGUGAAAUCCCGGGGCUCAAACUCGGAACUGCCUUUGAUACUGGAGGUCUCGAGUCCGGGAGAGGUGAGUGGAACUGCGAGUGUAGAGGUGAAAUUCGUACAUAUUCGCAAGAACACCAGUGAGCGAAGGCGGCUCACUGGCCCGGUACUGACGCUGAGGUGCGAAAAGCGUGGGGAGCAAACAGGAUUAGAUACCCUGGUAGUACACGCCGUAAACGAUGGAUGCCAGACGUUGGGGAGCAUGCUCUUCAGUGGAGCAGAUAACGCUUUCAGCAUCCCGCCUGGGGAGUACGGCCGCAAGAUUAAAACUCAUCGGACUUGACGGGGGCACGCACUAGCGGUGGAGCAUGUGGUUUAAUUCG
rnacentral:rRNA from 1 species